rnacentral:lncRNA from 13 species
AAACAAGCAUUUCUAUGCAAAAACACAAAGUUCAUGCUCACCGGUUGUGACGAAAGAGUAGCCACGCUCGGUCAGGAUCUUCAUGAGGUAGUCAGUCAGAUCGCGACCAGCCAGAUCCAGACGCAUGAUGGCGUGGGGGAGAGCGUAACCCUCAUAGAUGGGGACGUUGUGGGUCACACCAUCACCGGAGUCCAGCACAAUACCUAAACACAGAAAACACCACAAUUCAGUAAAGCAGACAACCCAACCACCAACAACUUGAAAUACAAAUAACGAGUUGUGUGCGAAAAAAGGCGCGAGCGGGGGAAGUUCUUACCGGUGGUACGACCAGAAGCGUACAGGGACAGGACAGCCUGGAUGGCCACAUACAUGGCGGGAACGUUGAAGGUCUCGAACAUGAUCUGUGUCAUCUUCUCUCUGUUGGCCUUGGGGUUCAGGGGGGCCUCAGUGAGCAGGGUGGGGUGCUCCUCGGGGGCAACGCGCAGCUCGUUGUAGAAGGUGUGGUGCCAGAUCUUCUCCAUGUCGUCCCAGUUAGUGAUGAUACCAUGCUCGAUGCUCUGAGCUUCAUCUCCUACGUAGGAGUCCUUCUGACCCAUACCCACCAUCACACCCUGGUGACGAGGGCGACCGACAAUGGAUGGGAAGACAGCCCUGGGGGCGUCGUCGCCGGCGAAGCCAGCCUUGACCAGGCCGGAGCCAUUGUCGCACACAAGAGCGGUAGUCUCGUCGUCGUCACACAUCUUGGUGGGUUCUGAGACAAUGUGCAAAAGGAACACACAUUUAUCAUACAGUAUACUGUAAGUAGUCUACUUACUGCAAAAUCUCUCACUGACGUUACGCACCUACAUUAUAUGCGUGAAAACAACAUUCUGUGCGUAAAAACGAUACUUUCGGAUGUAUUGCUGAUGCAUCAUGUAUGCUCACUUAAGAUUAUCCACGCGUAACAAAUGAUCAAACAGAAUGAAUCACAUUACACUGAGAGUUGACCAAGAAUGCAUAUUAGGUUGCCUACAUCAGUGCUUCCCACAAUGUAUGUUCUUAACCAUUAGAUCACAGGUGUCAAACUCAUUCUACAAAGGGUCGAGUGUCUGCGGGUUUUCAAUCCUCCCCUCUACUUGAUUGAUGAAUCAAGGUAACUAAUUAGUAAAUAACUCCCCUCACCUGGUUAUCUAGGUCUUAAUUGAAAGGAAAAAACUAAACCUGCAGACACUAGGCCCUCCUACUUUAGAUGCACUUCUUGAGCCUGGGAUGCUCACAGGGAUAUUGGUAUCCAUAGUACUGCAUCAAUUAUAAAUGUUUCACUAAAUUAUUAUUGUAUUCACAAAAAUGUUGUAUUCUCCAAGAAUGUUGUUUGGAACAUAAAUGCAAUAUUUAAGCUUCCUACUGCAGAAUUAUUUCACUACCCCAUGGCCAUGCACUGCAGAAGUCAUAGUUAACCUGCUUGUAUGCUAUUUUAUCGCACUCUAAAGUAAGAGUUCACGACUAUGACAAAAAUAACGUUUUAGUGUUCUAAUUACGUUGGUAACUAGUUUAUAAUAGUAAUAAGGCACCUCGGGGGUGUGUGGUAUAUAGCCAAUAUACCACAUCUAAGGGCUGUGUCCGUAUACCACACCCACACCCUUCAUGCCUUAUUGCUUAAAUAUGACACCGUAGUCUGACACGCAGGUCUCGGGAAUUUUACCAAAGUGAUCAUGAUAAAGUUAGGCUACACAUUGACAUUGACAAACAUUUCAAAAAUCGUUCCAUGGAGUAAUUUUACAUUACAUAUACGUUUUAUAUUAAUAAGGAUUUCAGGUAAUGCACAUCAACUGGUUAAAUAGAUCGACAAUCAAUACACAUAUUGUGUAACCUAUCAUAUAGGGUAGCUAGCUAUAAGCAUGUAAUGCAGUCCUUCCAGGAACUUUUGAUUCAAUGCAAAGUUGUGAAUCUCUUUCUCUUCUUGCUCUCACCUGCUGACGUAACAGGUUUUCCAAUAUUCAGUAGACGUAUUCAAUAUUUUGUCUUACAUUAUCUUAAUAAAGCAAAUUAACUACCAAAAUAUAUAUAUAUUUUUUAAAUCUCAAAUACCAAUUAUAAUUUAUCAAUUAAAUCAACAUAAUUUUUUACAAUGACGCAUUAGCCUAUAUUAUGCAGGUAGACUAAUGUAUCAAAUCAAAUUAAUUUUAAUCCAAUAUCUUCUAUUAUUAUAAUAAUCAUUUGACAGUCAGGUGAAAUCUGUUCAGUUUACGAUAGUAGGCUAAAAGUUCAACUGAGCCGGUGAUUGGCUGCCAAGUUUCACUGACUGUCACAAUACUGUGUAGAUUAUCUUUGAUUUGUUUAAUUCCUUAUUCAGAGUCCACGAUGUAAUGUCCCAGAGAGAGGAAAAAAAUCCACUCCUCGUAUUGACCUCCUGGUGCAGCAGCGUGGUGUAAUAUUCCACGGACGCGUUCACUUACCUGGUUUUCUUUUAGAAGAAGCUCAGUUGCAGAACUUUAUCACUUCUGGUUCCAGCUAAGGACUGAUAGCAACCGCCGUCAACCUUAUAUACCCGACGCCAUCCACCUUUUUUCGUCUCCUGACAACCAUUAGGAAUGUCCAUCUAUUCCACAGGAAUUCUCCCGACCCCUUCAUCCAUAUUUGGUUCUUGGGACGGGUGCGCACUGGACACUCCCGUAGACGAGCGCUAAAGAGCUCAGGGUCGCACUUCGUAAUGCGCAGGACGGUCCAUAUAUGGAGAGGUAGUCCCGAAUUCAAACUGUAGCGCUCGGCCCGUGUAUGGAGAGCCGAGGGGUGUAAUCCGUCGGACUCCUGCAUGGCAUUUUGAACACAGGCGCGCUUCGACGCAGGACUACACACGUCCAUAUUCUUCGUUCUAUGACAGCAUGCAAUGCCAAAUCAUUCAAUGAUGCAAGGAUAUUGAUUGUGGCUUUAUUUUUUUCUUUGCAAAUGACUUGCUUUCCGAGCGCACCUCGUCAAGGUAGCCCAUGUUCUAUUCAUGUUAUUUUAUUGGUUUAUGUUGAUUCCUUUACAGCUAGAGCAGGUGCGAAUUUAUAAGGGUUGUUUAAUUUUCACACUACAAAUUAUUAUACAGUGAAUCUCAGUGUAUUUUACCCGGUUCUUUGUCAGAUGAAUGUUAUUUUAAUUGAUAAGAACAUUUUUUGGGGCGGAAAUUGUCUCUCAAAUGGUGUUUCAAAUAUGUAGGCUGUGUAGCUGUUAGUCUAGUACUAUUUUUUGAACAAAAAGUUUGAAAACACAUAGAACAUUUUAAAUUAAAAUCCCUCAAACUUUUCACAAGGGUACUGAUUUAACAUGGACUUUAUUCUGCAGAAUCAACAACAGCAAAUAGAGAUGAGGGGGGGUUGUGUCAAGUUUGAGAUGGGGGCGUUUGUGGUAGCUGGUCACUUGUAACUUCCGCAUUUACUACAGUGGCCACGGUCUAGUUUCCCUGAACAGGGGGUAGCUCUGAA